UUACUCUUCACUUUACCUAUUCUGUAGUCUUCUGGACUUCUCCGUUCUUCUUUCCUCACACAAGUUGCUCUCUUGAUUCACUGCAUUCAGGAUGCUCGUUCUAACCUGAAGCCACCCCCGCACCUGGUGCUUCGACGGGGUGACCAUCGACGCCGAUUGAGGGUUAGCAGGGCCCAAGGAUCUACUACACCAGAGUGUAGGCGAGAUCAUCGAUCUGGACGCUGCCGUUGAUGCUGUCGUCCGUGCAGUUGAUUUGGUCUUGGAUUUCAUCUCCCGCAGGCCUGCAACGGCAACAUUGUUCCAAGUUGAGCUGCAGGUGAUAUCAUAUUUGUGACAUGAAGAGUAAGAGAGCCACAUGGCAAUCUUAAGGAGGUGUUUUCUAGGAAUGUUUAUAUAUUCCAAUCAUGCUAUGUAUCUUCAUCUCCAGUUGGAUGGAGCUGCUGGAAUUACGACAGGAACCCACCAUAGCAUCUGAGGUUGACCAAAUACAGGAACCAUCUAUAUGGAGCUGCUAGCAUUAUGAAAGGAAACCACUAUAGCAUAUGAGGUUGAUCAACACAUGGAAACCAUCUAUAGCUAUCCUGUGGCCACUGGAGGAAGACAAUUCUGAAGUUGAUCUCGAAGUUUGGGCCACCAGAGGAAGAUGAUGUGGGAGGAAGAUCAUGUAGAAGUUGUAACCUAAAAUCUCGAGGACAACGAACCUAUGAGGUCGUGGGGGAAGGUCUUAUAUGGAUGGUUAAGUUUCUCAUGUUUGCAUGAUGGGAAAAAAAAUUGGAUUCCGUGUGGACACAUAUUCUGUUUGGAGAGAUAUGAUAGUUUCGAUUUGGUUAGGCACAUUAGACCUUUUUUUCUGGGAUGGCCUCAUCGCUGAUGGCAUGGUCCAUCACGUAUGCGUGUGAUGGCCACCUGUUGGUUAGGCACAUUAGACCUUUUUUUUCUGGGAUGGCCUCAUCGCUGAUGGCCCAACCUGUAUGUUUUUUCUUCUUAUUACUGGUUGCAUGCAUGCAUA